rnacentral:rRNA from 1 species
AAAGAACUACAAGGAUUCCCCUCNUAACUGCGAGUGAAGCGGGAAGAGCUCCNAUUUAAAAUCUGGCGUGCCUCUGGUCGUCCGAGUUGUAGUCUGGAGAAGCGUUUUCCGUGUUGGACCGUGUACAAGUCCCUUGGAACAGGGCGUCAUAGAGGGUGAGAAUCCCGUCUUUGACACGGACCGCCAAUGCUUUGUGAUGCGCUCUCAAAGAGUCGAGUUGUUUGGGAAUGCAGCUCAAAAUGGGUGGUAAAUUCCAUCUAAAGCUAAAUAUAGGCGAGAGACCGAUAGCGAACAAGUACCGUGAGGGAAAGAUGAAAAGCACUUUGGAAAGAGAGUUAAACAGUACNUGAAAUUGCUGAAAGGGAAACGCUUGAAGUCAGUCGCGUCUGCCAGGACUCAGCCUNGCUUCUGCUUGGUGCACUUUCUGGUUGGAUGGGCCAACAUCAAUUUUGACCGUUGGAGAAAGGCUUUGGGAAUGUGGCACCUUCGGGUGUG